rnacentral:rRNA from 1 species
AGAACGAACGCUGGCGGCAGGCUUAACACAUGCAAGUCGAGCGCCCCGCAAGGGGAGCGGCAGACGGGUGAGUAACGCGUGGGAACAUACCCUCCGGUUCGGAAUAACUCAGGGAAACUUGAGCUAAUACCGGAUACGGUCGAGAGGCGAAAGAUUUAUCGCCGGAGGAUUGGCCCGCGUCCGAUUAGCUAGUUGGUGUGGUAAUGGCGCACCAAGGCGACGAUCGGUAGCUGGUCUGAGAGGAUGAUCAGCCACAUUGGGACUGAGACACGGCCCAAACUCCUACGGGAGGCAGCAGUGGGGAAUAUUGGACAAUGGGCGAAAGCCUGAUCCAGCCAUGCCGCGUGAGUGAUGAAGGCCUUAGGGUUGUAAAGCUCUUUCGCCCACGACGAUAAUGACGGUAGUGGAGAAGAGCCCGGCUAACUUCGUGCCAGCAGCCGC